rnacentral:rRNA from 1 species
UACGUAGGCAGCGAGCGUUGUUCGGAGUUACUGGGCGUAAAGGGUGUGUAGGCGGUUGUUUAAGUUUGGUGUGAAAUCUCCCGGCUCAACUGGGAGGGUGCGCCGAAUACUGAAUGACUUGGAGUGCGGGAGAGGAAAGUGGAAUUCCUGGUGUAGCGGUGAAAUGCGUAGAUAUCUGGAGGAACACCGGUGGCGAAGGCGGCGUUCUGGACUGCAACUGACACUGAAAAACGAAAGCCAGGGGAGCAAACGGG